GACGAACGCUGGCGGCAUGCCUUACACAUGCAAGUCGAACGGUAACGGGCCUUCGGGUGCCGACGAGUGGCGAACGGGUGAGUAAUGUAUCGGAACGUACCUUUCAGUGGGGGAUAACGUAGCGAAAGUUACGCUAAUACCGCAUAUUCUGUGAGCAGGAAAGCAGGGGAUCGCAAGACCUUGCGCUGAUUGAGCGGCCGAUAUCAGAUUAGCUAGUUGGUGAGGUAAAAGCUCACCAAGGCGACGAUAUGUAGCGGGGCUGAGCGGAUGAUCCGCAACACUGGAACUGAGACACGGUCCAGACUCCUACGGGAGGCAGCAGUGGGGAAUUUUGGACAAUGGGGGCAACCCUGAUCCAGCCAUGCCGCGUGAGUGAAGAAGGCCUUCGGGUUGUAAAGCUCUUUCGGCCGGGAAGAAAUCGUAUCAGCUAAUACCUGGUGCGGAUGACGGUACCGGCAUAAGAAGCACCGGCUAACUACGUGCCAGCCGCCGCCGUAAUAC
rnacentral:rRNA from 1 species